GGUGUGGUCUGGUGGAGGAGACCCUAACACUCUGUCCUUUGGAUUCUGAUGUAUCCUGGAGACUCCUUGGAAUUCUCUGUGAUGUCAUCUGUGUUGUGGCAACACAAACUGCCUUAAGCCUUCCGUCAGUGCCUACAGGUUUUACCCAUAAACAUGUUGGCAAGCCUGAGGAGUCUAAAUGGGAGAGAGACUGGAGAGCUUAGAGAGACCAGAGAGAAGCAAGCUGUCCUUCAAUCUCAAUGGACAUGAAGAAGAAACCAAUGGUUCUGGAAAAGGCACAGGCUCCUCAGGAGGCAUCAUCCGCACCCUCCCUCCCUCACUGAGCAGGAGCAGCACAGGAAGAAGCUGGAGAAACUGAUCCCUCAGCUACAGAAGAUGACCUGUGAGAGGGAUGAGCUGCAUAGUGCCCUGGCCCAUUGUACAAACAAGGAUUUGAACAACAGAUGCAGGUGCUUGGGUCCUGGUGGUUUUGGCAACAGCAGGAGAUGAGAGACCCCUGGGGGAGACCCCCACUCAAAUCUCGGGAGGACGUACACCCAAAGAAUCAC